AAAUUGAAGAGUUUGAUCAUGGCUCAGAUUGAACGCUGGCGGCAGGCCUAACACAUGCAAGUCGAGCGGAAACGAGUUAUCWGAACCUUCGGGGGACGAUAACGGCGUCGAGCGGCGGACGGGUGAGUAAUGCCUAGGAAAUUGCCCUGAUGUGGGGGAUAACCAUUGGAAACGAUGGCUAAUACCGCAUGAUGCCUACGGGCCAAAGAGGGGGACCUUCGGGCCUCUCGCGUCAGGAUAUGCCUAGGUGGGAUUAGCUAGUUGGUGAGGUAAGGGCUCACCAAGGCGACGAUCCCUAGCUGGUCUGAGAGGAUGAUCAGCCACACUGGAA
rnacentral:rRNA from 1 species